AUUGGUAAGGAAAACUGCAUAUUCAUGCCUUCUCAAGAUUAUCAAUUUUGAAUUUUUUUCCCAUCUGCAAUAGAAUUCAACCCUCGCUUCAACUCUUACCAUGUCGCUUCUUUACUGCUCCUGUUCUUUCUCUGGAUUACGACCGGUUGUCUUUCACAGUUCAAACGUUACACCCUUCCUCGAAUUAACACCUCCCUUUAUUCCCCUACUAUUUCCCACUCUCAUAGUUUCUCUUGAUUAUGCCUCAACAGAAUCCGGAGAAGAUGAAGCGGAAGGUUGUCAACAAAUUUCUCAAAGAUGGUGCUAUUUUACUCUCUUUUUUAACUUUGGAAGAUCCAACUUUAAUUCCUCUGUGUAAUCUCUAUGGCAUAUGCACGGCAAGCACAGGUGAGAAGAGAGAAAAUAAGUGAAAGAAUGAAGCUUCUUCAAGAACUGACACCACACUACGCUAAAUUACUUAUGGUGACUGAAAACUCUGUGAUGCUCUACAAGAUCAUUGACUAUGUGCAAUCCAUUCAGCAGCAAAUUAGGUAAAUUACUUAGGCGGCAUUUGUUUACGGUGGUUGGUUUGCAAACUAAGAGUUCGAGUUCUCCGAAAAAGUGGUAGGUUUACAUUUCUAUUCUAUUUCCUUAUUUUGGUAAUGUAAUAGAUAGGAAAUUCCUAAAACUGUUCAACAAAAGAUAAGUUCAUAAAUUCAAAUUGAAGUA